rnacentral:rRNA from 1 species
GACGAACGCUGGCGGCGUGCCUAAUACAUGCAAGUCGAACGAAGUGGGGACGGGUGAGUAACACGUGGGUAACCUCACAUCAGAGGGGAUAACACUUGGAAACAGGUGAUAAACCGAAAUUGAUGGAUGGAACCGCGGUGCAUUAGCUAGUUGGGGAGGUAACGGCUCACCAAGGCGACGAUGCAUAGCCGCUCUGUGAUGGUUAUCGGCCACACUGGGCCUGAGACACGGCCCAGACUCCUACGGGAGGCAGCAGUGGGGAAUAUUGGCCAAUGGGCGAAAGCCUUACCCAGCCAUGCCGCUUGUGUGAAGAAGGUCUUCGGAUUGUAAAGCUCUUUAAGUUGGUAGGCGUUACCAACAGAAUAAGCCCCGGCUAACUCCGUGCCAGCCGCCGCGGUAAUAC